rnacentral:lncRNA from 1 species
GUUUUGUAUGCAUGAAUGAAAAAUGAGUUUAGAACUAGUUUGACAUAUUAUUUCUUCAUUUAAAAGUAUGUUUGUCUUUUGUUUUUCAAUGGUUGAAAAAUAUAAAUCAAGAGUUGAAAAAGAUAUGCAUGUAAAAAGGUGUUUUAGAUGCAUGAAUGAAGAAUAAGUCAUGAACAAAAUUAAGGGUUUUGAACCAAAGGGAUGGCACGGUUUUGGGGGUGGUUUUGGGUUGUGUUUGUGUUUUAUUGUAAACCACUCUCACAUCCUUUUAAAGCUAGAAAGAAGAAACCUUGUCACUUUUGCUUUUGGGUUUGAAAAAUCACCAAGAAUACACAAAUCUUGAAAAAGUGUUCAUGGUUUUGUUCUUGGUGUUCAUAGUUUGGUUUUUGAUGAAAAUGGUUUUAAUGCAUUGUUUUGUGGUUUUGGGUGAUGAUCAUACCAUCCAUAACCAUAUCAUAUACUUAUAAAACCCUAGACUUGACUAGGAGAUUUCCAUCAAACCUUUUCACCUAAGUUUUAAAUGCCAAAACCAAGUGACAAGCAAAAUUUUGAUUUUUCUACUUUGCAUUGAAUUAAAGCAUGUGGAUGAGACUUCCCAUUCCCCCAUUAAGUGGCCGGCCACCCUAGUGGAUUUGUCCACUUGGGGGGGUCUUUUGUAAUCUUUGAAAAGUUGAUAUUUUAUACUUUUGAGUAUUUACGGUUUUACCCCUAACUUUUCAUAUUUACAUUUAGGCCCCUACUAACUAGAAAGUUAAAAUAUUUGAUUUUAAUUUUGUUAGUUGUUUAAACUCAUAAUUAUAUUAUGCCCAUAUGCACUAAAUCAAAAUGUUUAUGUUGCAUUCCAUUAUGAUUAUUUAAAUGUGUUUAAGUAGUUUUAAAAUGGGUGACUAUGGACUUAUGCCUUAAACGAUAAUUGAGCUAUGAGAUAA